AUGCAAGGCGCCGCCGUCGAGGGGAGGAUUAGGGAUUCGCCGGACAAGGCCGGCGAGAGCGCCAAGAAGGCGCGGCUGGACCUGCCCGAAGGCCAUGUGAGGCAAGAGGCGGCCGGAGGAGGAGACGGAGGCGCCAUCGUCGCGGCGGCGUACAGCCCGCGAGUGGAGCUCGCCGUGAGGAUCGACAAGCAAGUGCUCCACUGCCCCCUCUGCACCGUCCCCUUCAAGCCUCCCGUAUUCCAGUGCAAAGCGGGGCACCUGGCCUGUGGUAGCUGCGUGGUCCAGCUGCCCUUUGGGCAGUGCAAGCCAUGCGUGAACGGCGGCGGCUUCUUCAACCCCUGCCCUGCGCUGGAUGCCGUGGUGUCCUCUACCAGGAUCGGGUGCCCCAACGCCGGCUGCCAAAGGUACGUGACCUACCACGAGGUCGCCGAGCACCAGAAAGCGUGCCCGCACGCGCCCUGCCACUGCAUGGAGCCCGGCUGCGGCUACGCCGGCGCGCCGCAGGCGCUCGCCGGCCACCUCUACACCAUCCACUCGGUGCCGGUGCGCGCCGUGCAGUACGGCAAGGUCAGCAAGUUCCAGCUACCGGUGUCGGCACCGCGGCUGGUACUCCUCGGCGACGAUAACAACCACGUGUUCGUCCUGACCGUGGGCGCGCUCGGCGCCGGCGCGGCCGCCGUGUCGGUGGUGUGCGCCAGGGCGAGGGCGGCGACGCGGCCCCGAUUCACGUGCAAGAUGUGGGUCAACCUGGAGCGGCCCCCGGCGGCGGCGGCGAACUGCAGCAAGCAGGACAUGGUGCUGGUGGACAUGCAUAUAAGGAGCAGCUCGUCGCCCGGGGCGGUGGCCGCCGCCGACGAGCCGACAUUCCUGCCGGUGCCGCGGAUGUACCUGGUUCCAGCAGCAGCAGGGGAGGGGGUGCCCAUGGAAGUUCCCCUGCACAUCCGCAUCGACAAGGUCUCCCCUUGGUCCGUGUGA
rnacentral:rRNA from 1 species